rnacentral:rRNA from 1 species
ACGGGAGGCAGCAGUGGGGAAUAUUGGACAAUGGGGGAAACCCUGAUCCAGCGACGCCGCGUGAGUGAAGAAGUAUUUCGGUAUGUAAAGCUCUAUCAGCAAGAAAGAAAAUGACGGUACUUGACUAAGAAGCCCCGGCUAACUACGUGCCAGCAGCCGCGGUAAUACGUAGGGGGCAAGCGUUAUCCGGAUUUACUGGGUGUAAAGGGAGCGUAGACGGCGAUGCAAGUCUGAAGUGAAAGCCCGGGGCUCAGCCCCGGAACUGCUUUGGAAACUGUAUAGCUAGAGUGCAGGAGAGGUAUGUGGAAUUCCUAGUGUAGCGGUGAAAUGCGUAGAUAUUAGGAGGAACACCAGUGGCGAAGGCGACAUACUGGACUGUAACUGACGUUGAGGCUCGAAGGCGUGGGGAGCAAACAGGAUUAGAUACCCUGGUA